UCUGGGUCGGGGUUUCGUACGUAGCAGAGC
rnacentral:piRNA from 9 species